rnacentral:rRNA from 1 species
GGGGAUCGAAAGACCUUAUGCUUUUGGAGCGGCCGAUGUCUGAUUAGCUAGUUGGUAAGGUAAUGGCUUACCAAGGCAACGAUCAGUAGUUGGUCUGAGAGGACGACCAGCCACACUGGGACUGAGACACGGCCCAGACUCCUACGGGAGGCAGCAGUGGGGAAUUUUGGACAAUGGGCGCAAGCCUGAUCCAGCAAUGCCGCGUGAGUGAAGAAGGCCUUCGGGUUGUAAAGCUCUUUCAGUUGAGAAGAAAAGAUUGUGACUAAUAAUUGCAAUUCAUGACGGUAUCAACAGAAGAAGCACCGGCUAACUACGUGCCAGCAGCCGCGGUAAUACGUAGGGUGCGAGCGUUAAUCGGAAUUACUGGGCGUAAAGGGUGCGCAGGCGGUUCUGUAAGUCAGAUG